GGCCAUAGCUCAAGGGGUAGGGUGUCUGUCUCGCAAGUGGAAGGUUGCAGGUUCAAUCCUCGCUGGCGUCU